GGCUGUGUAGCUAAGUGGUUAGAGCACUGGACCCAGUUUGUCUGAGGGUCUUGGGUUCAAUCCCCAACAUGGCUA